GCCCGGGCCCUGUGCACGUCGUUUUCACCCAACCCCGUCAGGUCCGGAAGGAAGCAGCGGUAAGUGACAAACGGCGGUGCCGCAGACCGCUUGGGUGGA
rnacentral:SRP_RNA from 1 species